UUAGUAAUGUCUGGGAAACUGCCCGAUGGUGGGGGAUAACUACUGGAAACGGUAGCUAAUACCGCAUAACGUCUUCGGACCAAAGUGGGGGACCUUCGGGCCUCACACCAUCGGAUGUGCCCAGAUGGGAUUAGCUAGUAGGUGGGGUAAUGGCUCACCUAGGCGACGAUCCCUAGCUGGUCUGAGAGGAUGACCAGCCACACUGGAACUGAGACACGGUCCAGACUCCUACGGGAGGCAGCAGUGGGGAAUAUUGCACAAUGGGCGCAAGCCUGAUGCAGCCAUGCCGCGUGUAUGAAGAAGGCCUUCGGGUUGUAAAGUACUUUCAGCGGGGAGGAAGGCGAUGAGGUUAAUAACCUUAUCGAUUGACGUUACCCGCAGAAGAAGCACCGGCUAACUCCGUGCCAGCAGCCGCGGUAAUACGGAGGGUGCAAGCGUUAAUCGGAAUUACUGGGCGUAAAGCGCACGCAGGCGGUCUGUCAAGUCGGAUGUGAAAUCCCCGGG
rnacentral:rRNA from 1 species